CGAAAUUUGAUUCGAUACCACAAUGUCGGGAAUACUACAAGUACAAUAUAUGUCUAUUUUAUUACAUGAGCCUCGAAAAAACCAAUCCAUCUCUAAUUGUGCAGCAUGAAUCUAACACCUUAUACUUCAACUAUUGGUGCUUCACUUUUCUUCUCAGAUUUUUGGAGCAGGGUGGCAGCAACAGUAUCUGCUACCUCUUUCUUCUCCUCCUUGACCACAUCUACAGCUUCUGCUGACUUCAACCCAGGCAGACUUCAGUUCUACCGAUACAGCGAGAAAGCUCAACAUACUCUGACUCUGCUUCUGGCUUGCUCUCGACCGGAACAAGUUCAUCAAGAACCGGUUUUGUCUCAGUUGCUGGGGUUACUUCCUCGUUUUUCA
rnacentral:lncRNA from 1 species